rnacentral:rRNA from 1 species
GACGAACCGUACGAACGUUAUUCGGAAUUACUGGGCUUAAAGGGUGCGUAGGCUGCGCGGAAAGUUGGGUGUGAAAUCCCUCGGCUCAACCGAGGAACUGCGCCCAAAACUACCGUGCUCGAGGGAGACAGAGGUGAGCGGAACUUAGGGUGGAGCGGUGAAAUGCGUUGAUAUCCUAAGGAACACCCGUGGCGAAAGCGGCUCACUGGGUCUCUUCUGACGCUGAGGCACGAAAAGCUAGGGUAGCGAAACGGGG